GACGAACCGUGCGAACGUUAUUCGGAAUCACUGGGCUUAAAGCGCGUGUAGGCGGCCCGGCACGUCCGUCGCUGAAAUCCCCCGGCUCAACCGGGGAAGUGGCGUGGAUACGACCGGGCUGGAGGGGGGUAGGGGGAGCCGGAACUUCCGGCGGAGCGGUGAAAUGCGUAGAGAUCCGGAGGAACACCAGUGGCGAAGGCGACACGCUGGGCCGUACCUGACACUGAUGCGCGACAGCAUGGGGAGCAAACAGG
rnacentral:rRNA from 1 species